rnacentral:rRNA from 1 species
AGUGAACGCUGGCGGUAGGCCUAACACAUGCAAGUCGAACGGUAGCACAGUAAGAGCUUGCUCUUACGGGUGGCGAGUGGCGGACGGGUGAGGAAUACAUCGGAAUCUACUUUUUCGUGGGGGAUAACGUAGGGAAACUUAUGCUAAUACCGCAUACGACCUACGGGUGAAAGCAGGGGAUCUUCGGACCUUGCGCGAUUGAAUGAGCCGAUGUCGGAUUAGCUAGUUGGCGGGGUAAAGGCCCACCAAGGCGACGAUCCGUAGCUGGUCUGAGAGGAUGAUCAGCCACACUGGAACUGAGACACGGUCCAGACUCCUACGGGAGGCAGCAGUGGGGAAUAUUGGACAAUGGGCGCAAGCCUGAUCUAGCCAUACCGCGUGGGUGAAGAAGGCCUUCGGGUUGUAAAGCCCUUUUGUUGGGAAAGAAAAGCAGCAGGUUAAUACCCCGCUGUUCUGACGGUACCCAAAGAAUAAGCACCGGCUAACUUCGUG